UACGUAGGGUGCAAGCGUUGUCCGGAAUUAUUGGGCGUAAAGAGCUCGUAGGCGGUUUGUUGCGUCGGCUGUGAAAACCUGAGGCUCAACCUCAGGCCUGCAGUCGAUACGAGCAGACUAGAGUGUUGCAGGGGAGACUGGAAUUCCUGGUGUAGCGGUGAAAUGCGCAGAUAUCAGGAGGAACACCGGUGGCGAAGGCGGGUCUCUGGGCAACAACUGACGCUGAGGAGCGAAAGCCGUGGGGAGCGAACAGG
rnacentral:rRNA from 1 species